AUGCUAGGACCGCCGGGGACGGUGGACAUGGAGGCGGAGCCGGAGGCUGCAGCCGCGCUCGUGGCCUUGGGGUUGGAGCCCUCUGCGUCGCAGCUCGAUGUUUUCAAGAGCAGACUUCGUUUAUUGAUUGAUGGAAAUACGAGUGAUUUUGAUACGUGGGUAUCAUUGAUAAGUUCUGCAGAGGAAACUUCUGUUAAUGACAUAAGGGUUAUUAGCUUGGUCUACCAUACCUUCUUAUUGGAAUUUCCUUUGUGCCACGGCUACUGGAUUAAAUACGCAGCUCAUAAAGCGAGGUUAUGCACAUAUGAUGAUGUGGUGGGGGUUUAUGAACAAGCCGUCCAAGCAGUACCUCAUUGUACUGAUCUUUGGGUCAGUUACUGUGGAUUUGCUAUGAGUGCGUAUGAAGACCCUGCCCUUAUUAGAAGCUUAUUUGAGAGGGCUAUGUCUCUUGUUGGAAAGGAUUACUUGUGUUAUCAUCUUUGGGAUAAGUACAUAGAGUUCGAGAAUUCUCAGAAGCAGCUGAUUCAGCUUGCUACCAUUUAUAUCAACGUGUUGAAAUUUCCCACAAAGAAGCUGCACAAGUAUUAUGGGAGUUUUAAGAAGUUGGUAACAUCAUUGGAACAAGAGGUUACACUUUGCGGUGCUGAAAUAUCAUCAGGAAAUUUAUAUACUUCUGAAGCGAUGGAAGCUGAGGAAUCGGAAGGGUAUAUCUCGAGUAAAGUUGCUGGCUUAUUUGACCAAGGCGGGCAUCUUAAACCUGAAGCACUGAAGCAGUACUUAUUUGCUGGGGAGCGUUUCUACCAAAGGUCCAGUGAACUUGACAAAGAAAUCUGUGGCUUUGAGGCAUCCAUCAAAAGGCCUUUUUUUCAUGUCAAGCCACUUGAUGAUGACCAACUUGAAAACUGGAACCUGUAUCUUGACUUUGUUGAGAAGAAUGGCGAUUUUGAUUGGGCUGUAAAACUUUAUGAGAGAUGCUUGAUCCCCUGUGCUAAUUAUUCUGAGUUUUGGAUUCGCUAUGCUGAGUAUGUUGAUGCCAAAGGUGGCAGAGAGAUUGCAAAUUAUGCUCUUGGUCGAGCCUCGUCGUGUUUUGUGAAGGGAGUCCCGUCUUUCAGUAUGUACUAUUCAAUGUUCAAAGAGCAAAUUGGUGAUGCAUCAGGUGCUCGUGCUCUUUUUGUUGAAGGAAGCAGUAAUUCCACUUCAGAUUUCUGCAUGAAUAUUAAUAGACUGGCCAACAUGGAGAAACGCAUGGGAAAUACCAAAGCAGCGACUGAGAUAUAUGAGAAUGCAAUUCAGGAUGCCAUGCAAAAGCAGAACACUGAAGUACUACCGGACCUGUACACUAAUUUUGCGCAAUUCAAAUAUGCGGCAAGUCAUAGCAUUGGUGAAGCUAAAGAAGUCUUUGUCAAGGGAAUAAAACAGGCACCCUGCAAGCCAUUGAUUAAGGGAUUCAUACAGUUCAUGAGUACAUACGGAGGAUCUACAGAAAUACCUCUGCUUGAUUCUGUUAUUGCUAAUGCCGUGAUUCCUGGAUCUGGCGUAUCAACAGCUUUAAGCCCUGAAGACCGUGAAGAUAUCUCGUUGUUGUUUCUAAAGUUCGUUGACCUUUAUGGGAGUGUCCAAGAACUCAGAAAGGCAUGGGCUCGACACAGCAAACUUUUUCCUCACAACACAAGGAACCUGUCACAGCGGUACUGUACUACUGACUGUAACAAGAGGAGAAUAACUGAAUUUCUGAGGGUUGUUCAUGACUGUUCUCCAGAAGGCACGAUCACAUUAAAACAGUCAUCCAAAAGUGAAACUUGUUCUUGGCAAGUUGAUAAAGAAGUCGGUUCGCAAGUGGAUAUGGAUGCUGUCAAUUCAGGAGAAGGACAGGGAUAUGAUGAUGAGCAGAACAUAGGGACUGUUGAUGCGCAACAGGAGGUUGGCGAUACAGCUCACAGCCAACACAGCUUGGACAAGUAUGGAAAUAAAAGCCAAAUGUUUUCACAUGCUAACCAAGAUAUCAGUCGAAGUGAGAAAGCCGCUCAAGCUGAAUCAUGCAAUCAUGAUUCUCCUUCAAAUUCAAUUGCUGAUCCCAAGCAGAUUGAUGCUCAGGACAAGAUUAAGGCCAUUGAGCUAUAUGCAGUUGAUCAUCAUCCAGGAGCAGUAUGCUCAAGAUCUGAACCAUCAUCUGGGACAAGCUUACUCAAAGGAAGUCCGUCCGGUCCAACUCCAAUAUUUUUGGAAUUAGAGAAUAAGCAACUUGAGAAAAUCCAGGUAAAGCUGGAAACAGAGCAUGAUGUGUCUGUCAGUAAUGCAAAGCCAGAGAGCUCUAGUGAUAAUCCAGAAGCAACUCAAUGUGGUACGGAAGUCUCUGCACUCAGUCAAGACCAUAUUCAGUCUUCACAGACACAAGAUUUGUCAGUCGGCGCAAAACCUUCCAGCUCAGAAAUGGCAACAACACAAAUUACCACGUGCUCUCAGUUUUCUCCCGACAAUGCAGUGACUGCUCAAGCUCCCCUUCAGUACAACAUGGAUAAUUCUCAAACGUACCAAUCCAUUAACCUUUUUCUAGCUGGACAAAACAUGCAGCAGAUGCAGCAGCAAGGGCCAGCUUAUGCAAUUUCUCAGAAUGUUCAUACAUCCCCACAUUCUCAAGUUCACCUCGUCCCACAACCGAACCAGGAAAACCAACAGUACAUGGAAAUGAUGCAAGGGUAUGCAUCCCAGAUGUGGCAAUAUUACCAGCAACAGCUGUAUCACCUGCAGACUCAGCAUAAUCAGCAGAUACAGAGUUUGCAACAGCAGCAGCUUCCAACCGAGCAUCUCCAGCAAAGCUUUACGCAACAGGUACAACAACUAAACCAACAAAUGGUACUUUGGCAGCAACAGGUCCAGCAGCAACAACAGCAACAACAACAACAACAACAACAACAACAACAAGUUCAGCAACAGUCUGACAAAACACAGGGGGAUACUAAACGUGAACAAAAUAAACAUCAGCAACAAGAAUCUGGAAUUGAUCAAAGCCAGCAGUUCCAGCAGCAGCAUUUGCUUUAUUUCCAGCAGCAGCAGCAGAUGUACUUUAUACAGCAGCAACAGCAAAUGUACCAACAACAACAACAGCAACAGCAGCAGUUAAUGCAGCAGCAACAGUAUCUCUCGCAGAUGCCGCAGCAGAAACAAGACAUGGAACAACAGCAACAGCAGCAGCUUUAUGAUGAACAACAGAAGCAGAUGGUAGUUCUGCAGCAGCAGCAGCAACAGUUUGCCCAACAACAGAUGCAGCAGUACCUGCAACAGCAAGCCAACCAACAAGUGUUCAAGGAUCAGAAUUGCGAGCUAAAUCACCAGGAUGCAAGGAAGAGGCAGCUGGAGCAUGGUCAACAAUCUGAAGCAUCACAGAGUGAUGGUUCCAAAUUGUGGAGUGGUGAGCAAUCUGAGUUGUCCUACCCAUCAACUCCACAGUCCCAACGUUCCAGUCAUUGA
rnacentral:rRNA from 1 species